rnacentral:tRNA from 1 species
GUCUGACUGGCUCAGUUGGUACAGCAUGCGACUCUUGAUCUCAGGAUCAUGAGUUCAAGUCUUGCGUCAGGCA